AUCUAUAAUCUUCGAUGCUUAAACUCUGUUUAAUCUCUGAUUCCAGGUUUCAUGAUUCUGUAUGUUUGUGUUUCACUGCUGGUCUCAGGAAUCGCUCUUGGUGUGUUGGUCUUAUUCUGUAACUGGAGGAAACGCCAAGAUGUUCAAAGCUCAAUUAUAACUCAGAGAGAUGCCAGAAGAGAUGUGGAUGUAACUGAUUAUGAAAAUGAUGCACCUGGAAAUCAACAAAUCAUGAUAACGAAUCCAGUCUACCUGAGCCUAAAGCCCAACACCAGCCAAUCAGAUUCAGGCUAUCAGAGCCUUGAUCCAAACAUUAACCAAUCAGAUUCA